rnacentral:piRNA from 1 species
UGUCCAUUGGGUCUAAAGGCUAUUUCUUGU